GACAGAGGUGCCGAGCGUUAGGCGGAAUCACUGGGCUUAAAGCGUGUGUAGGCGGAUGGGUAAGUACCUUGUGAAAUCCCACGGCUCAACCGUGGAACUGCUCGGUAUACUGCUCGUCUUGAGCCAACUAGGGGCGACCGGAACAAACGGUGGAGCGGUGAAAUGCGUAGAUAUCGUUUGGAACGCCGAUGGUGAAAACAGGUCGCUGGGGUUGUGCUGACGCUGAGACACGAACGCCAGGGGAGCGAACGGG
rnacentral:rRNA from 1 species